GCGUGCUUCCAGACUCUGACCCAUAUCUGCAUUUUAUUGAACAAAUGAAUUUGGCUACUAAAGACUGAUCCUGGGAUGACAUGUUAGAUAUUCCUUCAACCAAGAAUAGAUAACAGGGCAGGAACCAAAAAUUUCCUGGUGCCUCACUCCAAGUUGCAAUAUCAGCUCUUGUCAUAAAGAUAGGAUCAACGCUGAAGGAAGCAAUGAGAUCCAGAAACAAACCUAUGGGAAUUGAUUUAACUUCAUAGACGUUAUGUUAAGACUUCAGACUUUGUUUGGAAUCAGAACUGCAUAGAAUAGUUUUGGAGUCUGUGUCCUGUGCCCAGGGGCUGGUGGCCCAGUGUCUGUUGUUGAUGCUUAGUGUCUUUAAUGAUUCUCCCCUACUCCACACCACAGGGAUGGACUCUUG
rnacentral:lncRNA from 1 species